UGCUGCAUUAUCCUUUUCCAUUCUUCACGUUUGUUGCUCCUUAUAACCUAAUAAUUUUCCUCAUCAAAUAACCAAACUCAGCCGCCUUUACUCUUUAAACAAAUCUGAACUUCAUCAUCAAUCAUAUUCUUCUUCCAUUUGUUCAAGCUCGGUUUAAAUUCGUUUGUUCUUUGACGGUUUACAUCGACUCGACGUUCUCUUCGAUCCCUACGUUUCAGAAUCAUAUACGACCCGUCGACUGUUCGUACUUCAGAGGCGAACCAGAGUUAGAUUGCUUGUCAGGAUCACGUGGAUUUAGCAAGCAGUGAGUUUAUAUCUCUAUUUACCUCUUUAUUAAGCAACUAUUAUAUUUUGUAUAUAUGUAUAUGUAUAAACAGCUUUCGAACUGUUUUCGGCAUUGUGGAUUUGAUUUGGAACGUGCUACUCGAUGGGCAUCAUCGGGACUGCGUGCGCACCGGUAAUGAUUAUGGUAUUGAGGUAGGUUUGAGAUACGUCUCACCUUAGUGAGGGCACCGGUGGAAGAUACGUCUCCUGGGCUCACUAUUUAUUAAGUGAUAGUCGGGGAUCGGUUCUUGAGAUACGUCUCACCGACACGACAAUGGAUUUAGAAUUGUGGUUUAGGGUUUCAUUGAUAAUCCAUAAUGAAAAUGUU